GGGAGGACUCAAUAAAAAUUCCCCCGUAGGGCUUUGGAGGCUCAGCUGCCCGCUAUUAAUUGAAGUCAAUUUCCGGCUGCGCCGCCGACCAACGGGCUUUCUUCGUUAUUCAAAUGGCGUUGCCGGGCAUUGGAGCCGUCUCCAAGACUUCUUUCACUCUCUGCCCACCUCGUAACUUGUGUCCUCGCCAUCGGAGCUCCUUCGCUGCCCAUGAGGCUAUAGCGAAGUCUGACUUCCUCGCCGGCAAUGGGCAUCAAGAUCAAGCCACCUCACCGCCUUCUACCUCUCCUUCUAAUGGGGUCGAGGGCAUCAGGUCGCUUUGGAAGAAGAUGAGUUCAAAUGAGCUUGGAAUUAAAAACAAAAUGAUAUCAAAGCAGACAAGGUCUGUUCUAAGUGAGCUAAGGAGGAGAGGGUAUGAUGUGUACUUGGUCGGAGGCUGUGUUCGGGAUCUCAUAAUGAGGAGGGUUCCUAAAGAUUUUGAUAUUAUAACCACCGCCAAUCUUUCAGAGGUUAAGAAAGCGUUUUCAAGGUGUGACAUUGUGGGAAAGCGGUUUCCCAUUUGCCAUGUUCAUAUCAAUGAUUAUAUUGUUGAGGUUUCAAGUUUUAGCACCUCAAGAAAAUAUUCAAGCAAUUAUGUUAGAUAUAUUUCUCGAAGACCUCCCGAUUGUGAUGAACAUGACUGUGUCCGCUGGAGAAAUUGCCUUGGACGCGAUUUUACAAUUAAUGGGUUGAUGUUUGACCCAUACACACGGCUAGUUUAUGACUAUUUGGGAGGCAUGGAAGACAUUAAAAAGGCUAAAGUUCGAACUGUAAUUCCUGCUCAGACAUCUUUCCAAGAGGAUUGUGCUCGAAUUCUACGGGCGAUUAGAAUUGCAGCCCGUCUUGGUUUUCGCUUUAAUAGAGAAACGGCUCAGUGUAUAAAAGAUCUUGCCACAUCAGUAAUAAGACUCGACAAGGGAAGGAUCCUAAUGGAAAUGAAUUAUAUGCUUGCAUAUGGGUCCGCUGAGGCUUCUAUGAGGUUGCUUUGGAAAUUUGGACUAUUGGAGCUACUAUUACCAAUCCAGGCUGCUUAUUUUGUAUCACAAGGGUUUCGGAGGCGUGAUGAGGGAACUAAUAUGCUCCUGGCUUUACUCUCAAACCUAGAUAGCCUUCUUGCACCAGAUAGGCCAUGUCAAGAUAGUUUAUGUUUUUGUAACAGGGUUGCAAUAUUGGCAUUUCACGAAGCACUGGCAUGUGUACCUCGGGAUCCAUUGGUAGUGGCUACUUUCAGCUUGGCUGUUCAUAAUGGUGGAGAUAUGCUUGAAGCUGUUAAUAUUUCCAGGAGGAUCACCAGUGAGCACAAUCAAAACUAUUCAGAAAUAUUGGAACCCCGGAUGUGGGAUGAGGAUAAAGGUUUGAUAAAUGAGGUUUUAGACCUGGCUUCAUCAGUGAUUACUGCAUUAGAAUGUAUGACUGAUGAAUAUUUUGUUUCACAAAAAAUGGCACAAUAUCCUCAGGCUCCAAUGUCUAAUCUGGUAUUCAUUCCCCUGCAACUUUAUUUGAGGGUUUGCCGGAUUUUUGAAUGCGUUAAAAGCAGAGAUUCAGAGGGAGGCUUUGUUCCAAAACAAGGAAGUAAAAUUAAUUAUCAGAGUCUGGCCCAUGGUGGUUUGGCUGAGCUUCGUCAUGUCUUUGCCCGGGUUGUUUUUGACACUGUUUACCCUCCAAACAUUGAGGAACAAGACAUGAGAAGCUCUUCUUGCACUGGUAGCUCAUAAACAAAACAAAGGUGAGCAUAAAACAUCUCUACAUUUUAAUGGAGAACAGAUAUUGAGUUGUCCAAACCUCUUAUUAUCCCUGCCAGUUGGAUUGAUCCAUUUUGGAAUCUAUUUCAUCUUCAAGAAAUUGUUCUUUAGGGAUCUUCAAGAAGUUAUUCUUUAGGGACCCGUGGGUCUCUAUAACGCUGCUACUGAGGUGUCGGGUCUGAAAUUAGCUGGUUCUUCUGAUUUAAUCAAACACUUUACUAAUCUUCGUUGUAUUGUUCGGAAUUGGAUAGAGGGAAGAUUGAUUGAAGUGUUGCUGAAGCAGAUCUUCUCUGGAUGGCAUUUGACUUCUUUGAGUUCCGUAAGAUGUAAGCAUCUAUUUGCUUGGAUUAUUCUCUUAGACUAAGUGUUUCAAAAGUAGAAAAUUGUGGUUCUUGGAAACUUAUAGCACUUCACAUAGUUGAUGCAUGACCUAUAUCAUCACAAAUCGACGGAGGCAUUAAUGAGAUUGGUUAUGUGUGAGGAGAAGAGGAGUUUGUGAACAAACCACACUAGGGAAGGCAAUCAUGGGACCCAUGACAUGUCAUGGAGCUCAAUGGGGAAUACAAUCACGGGACCCAUGACAUGUGAUGGAGCUCAAUGGGGAAGGCAAUACCGAGAUCAAGUGUAUGUGAGGAGAAGAACUGUUUGUGGACUAAUUAUGCAAGGUAAGACAUUACACGAUCGAACGUGCAAUAGAGCUUGCUAGGGGAGGCAUCACAGAACAAUGAUGUGUGAAAGAGUGGAUUAACUCAAGGGACCUUGGUUGGAACUACGAUCUAAUGGAAGGAUCAAACUAAGGUUCAAACCAAGUUCAAAUAACGGUUCAACUUGAAACUAAUUUGGUUUGCGACGAACUUGUAUAAGCAAUUUACAAAUACAAGAGGAUAGUUUUGUUUGAAUGAAAGGUUUAACAAUAUUUUUUGAAAGAAAAUAAAUAGUGGGUAUAUUUGU